rnacentral:misc_RNA from 1 species
GAGAAGAACGUAGCGAAAUGCGAUAAGUAAUGUGAAUUGCAGAAUUCAGUGAAUCAUCGAAUCUUUGAACGCACAUUGCGCCCGCUAGUAUUCUGGCGGGCAUGCCUGUUCGAGCGUCAUUUCAACCAUCAAGCUCCUUAGCUUGUGUUGGGGACCUGCGGCUGCCGCAGCCCCCGAAAUGCAGUGGCGGGCUCGUUGUCACACCGAGUGCAGUAAUCAUUCUUCUCUCCGGGCGUGGCGGCGGGUUCCGGCCGUAAAAUCACCAAUUUAUCAAGGUUGACCUCGGAUCAGGUAGGAAUACCCGCUGAACUUAAGCAUAUCAAUAAGCGGAGGA